CAAGUCGAACGAUGAAGCCCAGCUUGCUGGGUGGAUUAGUGGCGAACGGGUGAGUAACACGUGAGUAACCUGCCCUGGACUCUGGGAUAACCCCGAGAAAUCGGAGCUAAUACCGGAUAGGACCUUCUCCCGCAUGGGGGUUGGUGGAAAGUUUUUCGGUUUGGGAUGGACUCGCGGCCUAUCAGCUUGUUGGUGAGGUAACGGCUCACCAAGGCGUCGACGGGUAGCCGGCCUGAGAGGGUGACCGGCCACACUGGGACUGAGACACGGCCCAGACUCCUACGGGAGGCAGCAGUGGGGAAUAUUGCACAAUGGGCGCAAGCCUGAUGCAGCAACGCCGCGUGCGGGAUGACGGCCUUCGGGUUGUAAACCGCUUUUAGUAGGGAAGAAGGGCUUCGGCUUGACGGUACCUGCAGAAAAAGGACCGGCUAACUACGUGCCAGCAGCCGCGGUAAUACGUAGGGUCCGAGCGUUGUCCGGAAUUAUUGGGCGUAAAGAGCUCGUAGGCGGUUUGUCGCGUCUGCCGUGAAAUCCUCAGGCUCAACCUGAGGUCUGCGGUGGGUACGGGCAGACUUGAGUGGUGUAGGGGAGACUGGAAUUCCUGGUGUAGCGGUGGAAUGCGCAGAUAUCAGGAGGAACACCGAUGGCGAAGGCAGGUCUCUGGGCACUUACUGACGCUGAGGAGCGAAAGCGUGGGGAGCGAACAGGAUUAGAUACCCUGGUAGUCCACGCCGUAAACGUUGGGCGCUAGAUGU
rnacentral:rRNA from 1 species